UCAUGGCUAUUCCUUUUGUGCCAACAGCUGCAUGGUGAAGUGAAAAAUGCUGUGUGGGUGACAACUUUCUGAACCUAGCCAAUGACCAGGCUAUUGUCACUCUAGAAUAGACACACAUUGCCACAACAAGAAGUAGCCUACAAGGCAAAUCAUAUUUUGUAAUGACAGAUGGCUUCUUACUAAUAUAAUUGCUUAAAGUUCUUAAUGAGAAAGAAAAUGCUUGCAAUAUAUUAUCUAUUAAACUUGGGUCUGAACCUUUCAAACAAUUUUUUUUGUCAUUAAAAAUUUGUUUAGGCCAACAUUUAAAAAAAAAAAAUGUUGACAUUGUUUUUUUACUUAGCAUAAUGAUGUAUGCCUGAGCUUGAUUCAUCUUCUGUUUUUGAUUCGUGAACAAUUUCUUUAAAGUUACAUCACAGCAAUGACAAUAUUCCUAAGCUAAUUGCCAUUUAAUACAGAAAAAGAUGUUAUCUAAUAUAGGAAAACCAAUGACAACUGAACUGAUGAAGAAAAUGUAAGAAAAAGAUAUAUAUUUUUCUUAUUUAGUUAAUCCAUUUGAAAUAUUUCAUUAGAAAGGUUGAUUUGAUGUUUUAAAUAUUUUAUUGGCAUAAUUUUUCAGCUUUCAAGGUAUUUUCUAAAUGAAAUAUUUGCCAAAUAUGUAUUUUCUUAUGUCAUUGUUUAUGAAAUGUUGAAUAAAUAUUCCUUUUAACUAUGUAUUCUUUAUUGAUCAUUUCAUUGUUAUGAAUUUUUUUUUUCAGCUAAGCCUAUUAUUGUGUUUACUGAUAAAUGAUUUAA